rnacentral:rRNA from 1 species
GACGAACGCUGGCGGCGUGCUUAACACAUGCAAGUCGAACGGAAAGGCCCUGCUUUUGUGGGGUGCUCGAGUGGCGAACGGGUGAGUAACACGUGAGUAACCUGCCCUUGACUUUGGGAUAACUUCAGGAGACUGGGGCUAAUACCGGAUAGGAGCUCCUGCUGCAUGGUGGGGGUUGGAAAGUUUCGGCGGUUGGGGAUGGACUCGCGGCUUAUCAGCUUGUUGGUGGGGUAGUGGCUUACCAAGGCUUUGACGGGUAGCCGGCCUGAGAGGGUGAACGGCCACAUUGGGACUGAGAUACGGCCCAGACUCCUACGGGAGGCAGCAGUGGGGAAUAUUGCACAAUGGGCGGAAGCCUGAUGCAGCAACGCCGCGUGCGGGAUGAAGGCCUUCGGGUUGUAAACCGCUUUCGCCUGUGACGAAGCGUGAGUGACGGUAAUGGGUAAAGAAGCACCGGCUAACUACGUG